CAUUUUCAGUAAAGAAGUCCUGAGUAAACACGUUGUCGUUGAAUACCGCUUCUCUGCCGAACCUUAUAUUAGUGCCUCAUGCAGUAAUGUCUCAGUUUUAUCUCAGUUAAUGCCUGCGGGCUAUGAAAACACUCUAAGGAAUUUUGCAAAUGGCAAAGAUUAAAGGUCAAGUUAAGUGGUUCAACGAGUCUAAAGGUUUUGGCUUCAUUACCCCAGCUGACGGCAGCAAAGAUGUAUUCGUACACUUCUCUGCAAUCCAGGGCAAUGGCUUCAAAACUCUGGCUGAAGGCCAGAACGUUGAGUUCGAAAUUCAGGACGGCCAGAAAGGUCCGGCUGCUGUUAACGUAACCGCU
rnacentral:sRNA from 1 species